UAGGCAGGAGCUAGGGAGUUAUGGAGAUGGGAAUGGAAAGCCUGCAAAUCUUGUUGCGAAAGGGCCUGGACGACCAUGGAAGAUCAGAGACUUGCUGGUGCCUGGAAAUACACGGGAGAUAUUAGAGAAAUCUAGAGAGACAGACAUACUUGGAAGUGUUCAAGGGGCUGAGGAUACUACAGGUUUGGAGGUGAAAAAGAGAUCUGUUGGGCGCCCCAGGAAAACACCAUUGGUUGAAGGCAUUCAGUGUUUGUCUGAAUGGGAACAACCUGGAAGAUCUUGACCCCAAACAUGCAAUUUUCAUUCAGAAGGUAUCCGUUGGAAGAAUCUUUGAAUCCUUUGAGAUCGAUUAAAUUUCGAAAACCCAUUUCAUCUUGAACCUGCACAAGAUUUUCACCUGCAAAUAGUUUGCAAUUUGAACUUAUCAUACCAAAACUAAUGGAGAUAAUGAUUUUUUUU